GUAACUUUAGUCUGCCUCAUUGCUGUGAUUCGUCUCUGCUCAGUACAAGCCCCCUGCAGGGAUAAAAAGCAUUCUUUCAGCUGCUGGAAGGAAACUGCAGACAGCCUUCAGAUGUCGUCCAGCUUUGAGAACCGUUUCAUCAGAAAAGGCAAACCUCACCUGAGAGCACACCCCACUGCCUGCAUCAAUGACUGGUUCUAAUGUUGAAAUGAACACCGAGUCCCAUUUCCCCAAAACAGGACGACUUCGAAGUGUCAUAUGAAUUUAGGAAUUCCUUGUAGAUCUGCUGCUAAAUACUUCUUCGAGAAAACGUCACAGAAAACUCUUUUCUCUGCUUGAUCCUGCUUCCUCCUCUUUUCUUCCAUAGAUGUUAAUUUUUAAAAUUUCCCCAAUAAAUCCUCUGUGUGUUUUUA